rnacentral:misc_RNA from 1 species
UCAGCUAAAUCCCCCUCUCCAAAAUCCAGUGAGCAAACUCUAAAUGUACUAACCCCAAGUUCAGGUUCCGAACCCCAUCCAGCUAAAUUAACCACACACAAUCUAAAGACGAAAAAGAAGAAUAAAUAAGAAAACAGAAAAUUUACUUGCCCGGAAACUAAUUAAAUUAAAACCCGGCAUAGCAGAAGCCGAUCGGCUAUCCAGCCGGAAAGUACACGGCGAAGAAAACAGGUGGGGGACGGUGGCUGUAAUGAUGAUGAUGAUGAUACGAAGGGGUUUUGUUUAUGGAAAAUGGCG